UACGGAGGAUGCGAGCGUUAUCCGGAUUUAUUGGGUUUAAAGGGUGCGCAGGCGGGUCUUUAAGUCCGCGGUGAAAUGCCAAUGCUCAACAUUGGAACUGCCGUUGAAACUGGGGGUCUUGAGUGUGGAUGAAGUAGGCGGAAUUCGUUGUGUAGCGGUGACAUGCAUAGAUAUAACGAGGAACUCCGAUUGCGUAGGCAGCUUACUAAACCAUUACUGACGCUCAAGCACGAAAGCGUGGGGAUCAAACAGG
rnacentral:rRNA from 1 species